CUCACCCCCGAGACGCUAUCCCCUGGUGUCUGCUUCCAACUCGGGAUUAAUUCGAGGAUCUCUUAGUCCUCGGUUAAUGUUUCCCAACCAAACGCGUGCACCCUUCCAACCUUGCUGUCGAAACCGAACGAGACCCUGGUAGAGAAAUCUGCAUGAGCGGGGUUCCGUGCAGAUGUGUUCAGUGGUGGUUGCGGCCCCUGCGCUGUACGUGCAUGGUGCAUGUCCUCUUCGUGAGCUGGAGCCUCUCCAGUGACCUCACUGCCCCCACCCGGGGCCAGCUGUCUUUGGAAGGGGGCAGCAUCUCCCAACCCUGCCUGGCCCUGCUCCACCCCGCCCUGCCUGCGUGUGGAAUGAAACAGGACCACGUCCCGUCUGUCCUUGUGGGUCCUCCCGUCUCCGUCCUGGUGGUCGCCGUCCCGGUGGUGCAUCCAGCCACAUUGGUGGACCUUCCCUUUGCUUGUCCCGUUGUGUCAUUGGCCGCGGUGGGUCAGGGUCCUGGAUGCUGCCGCCCCUCACUCAGCCCUCCACUCUGUUGCAGAACCGCAUGCACGAAUCCCUGAAGCUUUUUGACAGCAUCUGCAACAACAAAUGGUUCACAGACACGUCCAUCAUCCUGUUUCUUAACAAGAAGGACAUAUUUGAAGAGAAGAUCAAGAAGUCCCCGCUCACCAUCUGCUUUCCUGAAUAUACAGGCCCCAGCGCCUUCACAGAAGCCGUGGCUUACAUCCAGGCCCAAUACGAGAGCAAGAACAAGUCAGCCCACAAGGAGAUCUACACCCACGUCACCUGCGCCACAGACACCAACAACAUCCAGUUUGUCUUUGACGCUGUGACGGACGUCAUCAUCGCCAAAAACCUGCGGGGCUGUGGACUCUACUGAGCCCGGCCACCCUGCCCGGCACCCUUGCCCUGCCUGGCCUGCCGCCCCCCCUCCCCUGGAACCAGGCUCCACCACUCUCAGACCACUCUUUGCACUUGAGGAAGAAGACCUCAGAGGCUGGCACCAAGGGAGGGAGGAGGGAGCAUCCUCCACCCACACCCCCCCAGCAGAACUCGUGGUAACGCAGGCGCGGGGCGGGGCUGCUGAGUGCAUGCUGCAAGGCCAGGAGACUCCGCGCUCACAGCCUCUGUGUCAUCUCUGAGUGCUUUAUCGGGAAGCUGGGGGGGCAGGGCAGGGCCGCCGUGUGGCCCAGAUGGGCACACCCUGCACCUGAUGACUCACUGGAAGCCUCGGAGUGUCCUGCUGUCAUCUUGGGUGGUACAGUGGCGCAGAUGGCCCUGCAGCAGGGUGCUGGCAGGGUGGGGUCAUAGGAGCCAUCCUUCAGCUUUGCCUGGGGUCUCUGGUGGAGGGCAGUUCCGUCAACAAAAGCCAGGGUGGGAUCAGGCCAACUUGGUAUGGGUUGGAGGACUCAGGCCUUGGCGAUGGCCUCUGUCUCCCUGCUCCCUCCCCUGGGUCUCAGCCCUUCCUUCUCUGGGGUCAUCCUCCCUUGCCUUUGCUCUCCCAGAGAACUCCCAUCCCUGACUCCUCUGAGUCCUGGAAAUGCUUCUUGAGACUGACUUAUGGCUCAGAUAGAUGGUGGCGGGGAGGGGGGCAGGGAGAGGUGGGAGGCGCGAGGAAGGGAGGUGGAAGCUCCUGUGUCACCUGGGCUGGGGCCUCCCGCCCAGUCCUUGCAGGCCAAAGGUGACCCAUUUCCUUUUUCCAGUCACCAGGAGCUCGGAUGGUCACUCUGAGGUGUGAAUAGAUAUGUUUUUUCUUCAGUCCACACUGAAUUCAACUCAAACCAGCAAAGGCCUUUGGGCUGGGGAUUCUGUAGUUGCAGAGGUCUAGUGGGGUGGACCUUUGCAGCCAGUGCCCCCACCUCACUGUCUUGGUGAAGAAAUCAGGGAGUUUGUCCACAGCUGUUGGUGUCUUCCCAGCCCCUGGGGACAGAGGACAGCAGGGGGAUGGAGCUGACACCCUGGAGUAUUUGGGCCCAGGCCAGCACAAACACACCCCCCUGUCCCCCACUCUAAAGGGAGAGUCCUGGGACCCCUUAGAGGAGGCUUCCCUGCCGAGAUCCCUGAGGAGAAGGGGGCGGGGUAGCUUCUCCUGGUGACGCAGGUCUGGCUGGCCUUGGGCAACCAACACACCUCUCCCACUCCAAGAUGCCUCCAGGUGAGGCCAACGCCCACACCCAGGCUAGUCGUGUGAUUGUACAGCAGGCUGUGCCUGGGGACCUAGAUGUGCCGCGGGAGGGAGGAGGGUACCCCCUGACAGGCCUCUGCCUCCCUCCUCAAGCCCUCUGUUCUCCCUGCCCCCGCUCUGGACACUGCUUAGUCCCCAGCCAGGCAGGGCCCCUGGGUUUCCACUUGCAGCCCCGGGACUGCCCCAGAGCCAGGAAGCACCAGUGCCAACAGCUCUGGACUUGUUGGACCCACAGGCACAGAGCUCUGAGUGGUGCCCAGGAGACCCAGGGACCUUCCCUAGUGCCAAAUACCUGCAGAGACCGGUGCCUGGGGAGCCUCUGGCAGCCAGACUGCAGGAGCCACCCCAUCAGCCCAAAUCCACCUCUGUUUUGUUCACCUCGGUCAUGUUUUGGACUUUGCACCGGGUGCUGGGACGUGGCAGAGGACAGGCCCUGGGAACCAACAGUGUCUUACCAUGGACAGCCAGGGCCAGCUAAGCCAUCCCACCCAACAUGGAAGACAUGGCAGUUAUUUCUCAGCAGUACCACGCUGGGUGAGGCCAGCUGUUCCCCUAACUCUGCUCCAAACUGCAACCCCAGGCUCAGAAGCAGCCGGCAAAAGGGGGAUGCUGGCCACGCUCCACCUCUAAGGCCAUCACCUGGAGGUGGAAGUCUCUGGGCUGGAGGGCUCUCCAUGUCCCCCAGCAGCCGCCCUCAGACCGCAGUGGCCAGAGUGCCAGGCUGGGUCCAGGCCUCCGAUCCAGGCCUUCCCUGUCCGUAGAAUUGGGGCUGGAGGAGUGGGUGCUCAGCCCUUCCUGCCCUCCAUCCGCAGCCUGCCUUUCUCUUCCUUUGGAUGCUCCAUCCUCCUCGGUUUCUUGCACUGCUCUCAAUCCUCUCACCCUGGCCUGGGGGGGGUCCUUGGUCCUCAGGGGUAUCCAGGGAGAAAUUCUCUCCCUGUGCAUGACGACUGUCAUCCAUGUCGUAACCGGCGGCUCCACCUUGUGGGGUGGUGACUGAGGGUGACAGAUGAGAUUUGGCCCCGUCGUGGAUGUGGAUGUGGGAGGAAUGUUGUGAGUGACACGUGUGGGUUUCUAAUCCACAGUGGUCCUGCGUGUGCCCUGAGGGGCCAUGGUAACUUCUCCUAUGGCUUGGAUUUAGCAGGCCAAGCAGAAACUGAUUUCUACAAAGAGCGUCUUUGCCAAACUCAUGAAAAUUGUGCCUGCCACUUUCAUGCCUAUGGGCCAGUUUUGUGACCUGCGCCGCUGACCAUCCUAAGAACCAGGUCUUGGCCUUCCCUCUGAGCACCGAUAGAGGUCCCCAAGGCUCUCUGGCCUGAGGAGGGUGUGGGGUCUGCCCAGCCCCAAGCAGAGAGCACAGCCUGGGCCCCUGACCAACAGCUUUGGCAUUCUGGGUUCCAUGGGGACCCUAGAGCUCAGGCAGAACACCACCACCAUAGCUGCUGCCAGGACGCAGCUGUCUCCCAGGCCCUCCCCACAGCCCAGCUCCCACUGGCGGGAACUGGAGGCAUCUCUGCCCUCCAUGGUCUGCGCUGGUCGUCUCUUGAGUGUUCUCAGGAGCAGAGGCAGCCCCAAGUUCCCACCUGCAAGCCCUGUAACUAAGCUGUCUACAAACCCCAGCAGGGAAGGCCAAGGGAUGGUCUCACCCAUGCUCUUCCCUUUAGCCAACAUGAGUCUUGCAGUGGGGAGCUUAGCCCCUGCUCCCACCUAACACUCUACAGUUAGCACCCAGGGGUUGAUUCUGGAAGUUCUUCCUUUUUCUAGCCUGCAUCCUUCCUGGCCACCCCCUUUAUUUCUCAGUCUGACCUGGUGCACUCUUGGCAAGUGUGUCCACUGCACUCCCAGGUGGAUAUUUAAUGAGCACUCGGACUGUUUCCUCCAAGUCGGCUAGUGGCCUGCCCUCCUCCUUGUCGAGAAGUCUGGGGCACAGAGCCUCCUCUGGCUGCCUCUUCUCUUCUCUGAGCCUCUGGGAGCCUUCAGGCACAACCUGGCAGUUCUCAGGAACCCAGACCUGAGGCUCCAGCUCCACAGCCACCAGAGAUUCAGUGUGCAGUGCCGAAGGCAGUCACCCCCAGGCAGUUCCUGCUUUCAGGCCGCAAGCCUAGAGUGCGGGAUCCCAGCAGCCCAGGGAACAGGGCCGGGGUGUGAGCUGCUGCCAUGGGGUCUGUGGUAGGGCUCCCGAUCUCCCACCCCUCAGCAAGAAGAGUCCUGACCCCACCCUGCCCAGAGAGGAGCUGGGGCCUCCAGACAGACCCCACUCCAGCCAGACGGAGGCCCCUGUCAAAGAAGGGGCAGGCUGGGGGAAAAGCAGAAAGAAUGGCCCCCAAUCCAAACUCUUGGAUCCCCUCCAUGAGAGAGGGGCUCCCCCUGGAAGAGAAGCUCUCAUCCCCAGGCCCAGUGCACAAGACCACCAGCAGAGACCCACCGCCCUUCCUGGCAGAGCCGGCAGCUCCGAGGCACCACUACUCUCCUCCCCUUCCCUUCCCACCCCUCCCCUCCCCUCCCCUCUCCUCCACACCUGCCCUGUUACUCCCACAACUCUGGGCAGCCAGGCCCUCCCCUCCUGCCUCCUGGUCUUCUCUACUCCCUGGUUCUGACCCAUCCCCUGGCCCUGCCCGCUGUCCCCCACCCUGCCCCUGCUGAGUAUCUUCUGCCUCCCCACGCACCCCCUCCCCCAUCUAGGCCAGGUAGGCUCAGGCAUCCCAGGCCUUCCUUAGAAAAGCCGUCUCUCUCAAGUGCAGUGGUCCCACCUCCCAACCCCGUCGCUGCCGCCCACCCCAUAUUAACUGUAAUUUUGUAAGAAGAGUGACUUGUUGGUUUAAUAAAUCUCUAGUUAUUGUAA
rnacentral:sRNA from 1 species